AGUGGUCGGAACCAGAAGGGAGCAGGCACAACUGCCGGUGAGGAGGUGGAGCAAAUAAACAGCUACCUCUCCCGUUGUGCCCUGACAACAAAGUACAUGUCAAAAGCAGCACGUGUGGACAUGCUCACUGUGCAUGCAAUGGGUUGGAACCAUCACAAAGCAGAGACGCUACACAAGGCCCUCUCCACAAGAUAUGUGAAGACAUCUAAAAGGGCAGAAGAAGAGGCAGAGAGGCUGUCACAACUGCAGAAGGACCUGCAGUGCUCAAAUGCAAUGGCUGUACAGUGGAUUGCUGAAGUCAAGGAAUGGGCAGAGAGCGAGACCCCAGUAACGGGUCUGCACGUUCUCCAGCAGUCCAUUGAGGGUCUCCAUCUGGGUCUAAAGCAACAGAAACAAACCCUCUACCGUCAGAAUGACAGCAACAAGCUUCGCCAUCGUCUCCGAAGAAAGUUGACGGAAGACAAAAAGCGCCUUCUCCAGGAGAUUGAUAAAUACAACAGUCUUGUUGCAGACCUCUCCAAAGGAUUGAUGUGGCCUU